rnacentral:rRNA from 1 species
UACGGAGGGAGCUAGCGUUGUUCGGAAUUACUGGGCGUAAAGCGCGCGUAGGCGGCUACUCAAGUCAGAGGUGAAAGCCCGGGGCUCAACCCCGGAACUGCCUUUGAAACUAGGUGGCUGGAAUCUUGGAGAGGUCAGUGGAAUUCCGAGUGUAGAGGUGAAAUUCGUAGAUAUUCGGAAGAACACCAGUGGCGAAGGCGACUGACUGGACAAGUAUUGACGCUGAGGUGCGAAAGCGUGGGGAGCAAACAGG